rnacentral:rRNA from 1 species
GACGAACGCUGGCGGCGUGCUUAACACAUGCAAGUCGAACGGAAAGGCCCUGCUUGCAGGGUGCUCGAGUGGCGAACGGGUGAGUAACACGUGGGUGAUCUGCCCCUUACUUCGGGAUAAGCCUGGGAAACUGGGUCUAAUACUGGAUAGGACCAUGCUGUAGGUGGUGUGGUGGAAAGAUUAGUUUCGGUAAGGGAUGAGCUCGCGGCCUAUCAGCUUGUUGGUGGGGUAAUGGCCUACCAAGGCGUCGACGGGUAGCCGGCCUGAGAGGGUGGACGGCCACAUUGGGACUGCGAUACGGCCCAGACUCCUACGGGAGGCAGCAGUGGGGAAUAUUGCGCAAUGGGCGCAAGCCUGAUGCAGCGACGCCGCGUGGGGGAUGACGGCCUUCGGGUUGUAAACUCCUUUCAGCCAUGACGAAGCCCUUGUGGUGACGGUAGUGGUAGAAGAAGCACCGGCUAACUACGUG